rnacentral:rRNA from 1 species
UGGGGAAUAUUGCACAAUGGGCGCAAGCCUGACGCAGCGACGCCGCGUGAGGGAUGGAGGCCUUCGGGUUGUAAACCUCUUUCGCCAGUGAAGCAGGCCAUCUUCUUUGUGGGGUGGUUGACGGUAGCUGGAUAAGAAGCGCCGGCUAACUACGUGCCAGCAGCCGCGGUAAUACGUAGGGCGCGAGCGUUGUCCGGAAUUAUUGGGCGUAAAGAGCUCGUAGGCGGCUGGUCGCGUCUGUCGUGAAAUCCCUUGGCUUAACUGGGGGCUUGCGGUGGGUACGGGCCGGCUUGAGUGCGGUAGGGGAGACUGGAAUUCCUGGUGUAGCGGUGGAAUGCGCAGAUAUCAGGAGGAACACCGGUGGCGAAGGCGGGUCUCUGGGCCGUUACUGACGCUGAGGAGCGAAAGCGUGGGGAGCGAACAGG